rnacentral:rRNA from 1 species
AGAGUUUGAUCCUGGCUCAGGAUGAACGCUGACAGAAUGCUUAACACAUGCAAGUCAUUGGCGAAGCUGCGCUUGCGCAGUCUAGCCAAGGCGGACGGGUGAGUAACGCGUAAGGAACUUGCCCUGCAGACAGGGAUAACAGACGGAAACGACUGAUAACACCUGGUAUUGUCAGGCUGGCGCAUGCCGGCCUGAUGAAAGGAGACGCUGCAGGAGAGCCUUGCGUCCUAUUAGCUAGUUGGUGGGGUAACGGCCCACCAAGGCGAUGAUAGGUAGCCGGCCUGAGAGGGUGAACGGCCACAAGGGGACUGAGAUACGGCCCUUACUCCUACGGGAGGCAGCAGUGGGGAAUAUUGGACAAUGGGGGCAACCCUGAUCCAGCAAUUCUGUGUGCACGAAGAAGGUUUUCGGAUUGUAAAGUGCUUUCAGCAGGGAAGAAGAAAGUGACGGUACCUGCAGAAGAAGCGACGGCUAAAUACGUGCCAGCAGCCGCGGUAAUACGUAUGUCGCAAGCGUUAUCCGGAAUUAUUGGGCAUAAAGGGCAUCUAGGCGGCCCUGUAAGUCUAGGGUGAAAACCUGCGGCUCAACCGCAGGCCUGCCCCGGAAACUACAGGGCUAGAGUAUCGGAGAGGUGGACGGAACUGCACGAGUAGAGGUGAAAUUCGUAGAUAUGUGCAGGAAUGCCGAUGAUGAAGAUAGUUCACUGGACGGUAACUGACGCUGAAGUGCGAAAGCUAGGGGAGCAAACAGGAUUAGAUACCCUGGUAGUCCUAGCUGUAAACGAUGAUUACUGGGUG